UACGUAGGGUGCAAGCGUUAUCCGGAAUUAUUGGGCGUAAAGAGCUCGUAGGCGGUUUGUCGCGUCUGCUGUGAAAACUGGAGGCUCAACCUCCAGCCUGCAGUGGGUACGGGCAAACUAGAGUGCGGUAGGGGGAGAUUGGAAUUCCUGGUGUAGCGGUGGAAAUGCGCAGAUAUCAGGAGGAACACCGAUGGCGAAGGCAGGUCUCUGGGCCACUACUGACGCUGAGAAGCGAAAGCAUGGGGGAGCGAACAGG
rnacentral:rRNA from 1 species